rnacentral:rRNA from 1 species
GCCCCAUAGUCUGGGAUACCACUUGGAAACAGGUGCUAAUACCGGAUAAGAAAGCAGAUCGCAUGAUCAGCUUUUAAAAGGCGGCGUAAGCUGUCGCUAUGGGAUGGCCCCCGCGGUGCAUUAGCUAGUUGGUAAGGUAAAGGCUUACCAAGGCGAUGAUGCAUAGCCGAGUUGAGAGACUGAUCGGCCACAUUGGGACUGAGACACGGCCCAAACUCCUACGGGAGGCAGCAGCA